rnacentral:lncRNA from 1 species
GAGCCCUAUCUAAUGGAAAAAUCAAAUUCAAUGAGGAUUUGGUUCAUCCGACACGUACACUUCAUGGGCAUCCCGCCUUUCUAUGUUCUAUAGACUUGUAUGUAACUAUUGAGAGUGAAUAUAUUCUACAUAAUAUGAAUAUUCCACCUAAAAGUUUGCUUGUAGUUCAAAACGAUCAAUAUGUAGAAUCAGAACAAGUAUUUGCUGAGAUUCGCGCAGGAAUAUCCACUUUGAAUUUAAAAGAGAAGGUUCGAAAACAUAUUUAUUCUGAUUCAGACGGAGAAAUGCACUGGAGUACCGAUGUCUAUCAUGCACCCGAAUUUACAUAUGGAAAUGUUCAUCUAUUACCAAAAACAAGUCAUUUAUGGAUAUUAUUAGGAGGGCCGUGCAGGUCCAGUCUAGUCUACCUUUCGAUCCACAAGGAUCAGGAUCAAAUGAAUGCGCAUUCUCUUUCUGGUUUAUGGAUAUUAUUAGGAGGGUCGUGCAGGUCCAGUCUAGUCUACCUUUCGAUCCACAAGGAUCAGGAUCAAAUGAAUGCGCAUUCUCU